GAGCUUCAGGAACCAGCAGCUGACCAAACGAGUGGAGCUGCUGCAGGAGGAGCUGCUGCUGUCUGAGAGCAAGAGCAAGAAGAGCAAAAAUAAAGCCGACUCGCCGUCUCAGGUCAGCCUGCAGACACAGAGCGUGUUUGAUGAAGACCUGCAGAAGAAGAUCCAGGAGAAUGAGCGGCUUCACAUCCAGUUUUAUGAAGCGGAUGAGCAGUACCGUCGACAGGAGGCUCAGCUGAGAGCACGGCUAGAUCAGCUGGAGAAAGAGUCUGAGCAGCAUCAGGCCGUCAUCGACGCCCUCAACCACAAAUACACCGACGCCAUCGAGAAACUGCAGAACGACAAAACCUUUCUGGAGGUCAGAGACACAUUCAGAUGCUGGAAACCCAUUGUGUUUGUUAGGGAUAGUGUUAGUUAGUGCUCGAGCGUCAUGACAACACUAAAUCACUCUGCUUUUCACAAUGAUGGAUGUCAGUGGCAAAACAUGUACAGGGGGUUGUUUUGGGUCGUGGAUCAUUCAGUGCAUGAUCUAAUGUGAGC